rnacentral:misc_RNA from 1 species
GAUGAAGAACGCAGCGAAAUGCGAUAGGUAAUGUGAAUUGCAGAAUUCAGUGAAUCAUCGAGUCUUUGAACGCACAUUGCGCCCUCUGGUAUUCCGGAGGGCAUGCCUGUCCGAGCGUCAUUGCUGCCCUCAAGCACGGCUUGUGUGUUGGGCUCCGUCCCCCGAUCCCGGGGGACGGGCCCGAAAGGCAGCGGCGGCACCGCGUCCGGUCCUCGAGCGUAUGGGGCUUUGUCACCCGCUCUGUAGGCCCGGCCGGCGCUUGCCGAUCAACCAAAUUUUUAUCCAGGUUGACCUCGGAUCAGGUAGGGAUACCCGCUGAACUUAAGCAUAUCAAUAAGCGGAGGA